CCCGAGACUUAGCAGAGAUGCUUUGGUGCCUUCGGGAACUCUGAGACAGGUGCUGCAUGGCUGUCGUCAGCUCGUGUUGUGAAAUGUUGGGUUAAGUCCCGCAACGAGCGCAACCCUUAUCCUUUGUUGCCAGCGGUUAGGCCGGGAACUCAAAGGAGACUGCCAGUGAUAAACUGGAGGAAGGUGGGGAUGACGUCAAGUCAUCAUGGCCCUUACGAGUAGGGCUACACACGUGCUACAAUGGCGCAUACAAAGAGAAGCGACCUCGCGAGAGCAAGCGGACCUCAUAAAGUGCGUCGUAGUCCGGAUUGGAGUCUGCAACUCGACUCCAUGAAGUCGGAAUCGCUAGUAAUCGUGGAUCAGAAUGCCACGGUGAAUACGUUCCCGGGUCUUGUAAACACACCGA
rnacentral:rRNA from 1 species